UCCUACGGGAGGCAGCAGUGGGGAAUAUUGCACAAUGGGCGCAAGCCUGAUGCAGCGACGCCGCGUGAGGGAUGAAGGCCUUUGGGUUGUAAACCUCUUUCAGCAGGGAAGAAGCAGCCGGGUUUUCUUGGUUGUGACGGUACCUGCAGAAGAAGCACCGGCUAACUACGUGCCAGCAGCCGCGGUAAUACGUAGGGUGCAAGCGUUGUCCGGAAUUAUUGGGCGUAAAGAGCUUGUAGGUGGUUUGUCGCGUCUGUUGUGAAAUUUCGGGGCUCAACCCCGAACUUGCAGUGGAUACGGGCAGACUAGAGUGUGGUAGGGGAGACUGGAAUUCCUGGUGUAGCGGUGAAAUGCGCAGAUAUCAGGAGGAACACCGAUGGCGAAGGCAGGUCUCUGGGCCAUUACUGACACUGAGAAGCGAAAGCAUGGGGAGCGAACAGGAUUAGAUACCCUGGUAGUCCAUGCCGUAAACGGUGGGAACUAGGUGUGGGUCUCAUUCCACGAGAUCCGUGCCGCAGCUAACGCAUUAAGUUCCCCGCCUGGGGAGUACGGCCGCAAGGCUAAAACUCAAAGGAAUUGACGGGGGCCCGCACAAGCGGCGGAGCAUGCGGAUUAAUUCGAUGCAACGCGAAGAACCUUACCAAGGCUUGACAUGUGCCGGAAAAGUGCAGAGAUGUGCUCCCCGCAAGGUCGGUACACAGGUGGUGCAUGGUUGUCGUCAGCUCGUGUCGUGAGAUGUUGGGUUAAGUCCCGCAACGAGCGCAACCCUCGUUCUAUGUUGCCAGCGGGUUAUGCCGGGGACUCAUAGGAGACUGCCGGGGUCAACUCGGAGGAAGGUGGGGAUGACGUCAAAUCAUCAUGCCCCUUAUGUCUUGGGCUUCACGCAUGCUACAAUGGCCAGUACAAAGGGCUGCGAUACCGCAAGGUGGAGCGAAUCCCAAAAAACUGGUCUCAGUUCGGAUUGGGGUCUGCAACUCGACCCCAUGAAGUCGGAGUCGCUAGUAAUCGCAGAUCAGCAACGCUGCGGUGAAUACGUUCCCGGGCCUUGUACACACCGCCAU
rnacentral:rRNA from 1 species